AAGCGGAAUAGUGAAAUGUGGCGGCUCAACCGUACACACUAUUAUUCGAACUGCUUGUCUCGAGAAUGGUAGAGGUAACUGGAAUUUCUUGUGUAGGAGUGAAAUCCGUAGAUAUAAGAAGGAACACCAAUGGCGUAGGCAGGUUACUGGACCAUUUCUGACACUAAGGCACGAAAGCGUGGGGAGCGAACCGGAUUAGAUACCCGGGUAGUCCACGCCGUAAACUAUGGAUACUA
rnacentral:rRNA from 1 species